GUUCCUGGGGGAACGGAAACGGAGCGCGAGAACAGUGGCGCAUGAAUACCGCCUAACAUAGAUGGGCCGCCAGUGUGAGGCCCGGAUCCAAGCCAGCCUUCGUCUUGCUGUUGACCACCUCCAGGAUGUGGGACGCCAUUAAGUGAACUUGUUUGCUGCCGAACCAGAGCCGGGGAAUACUCACCUGGCGGAACAUGUCCUACCGUUUCUGCUGUUGUCGUAACAUAAGGCGAUGUACUUCCGGCGUCUGCUGCCGGUGGCACCCUGUGAUUCAGGUGCUUGAUAGGCAACCCUUGUAGUGGUCCUGAUUCUUCGCGUCGAGAUACCUGGGGCCCCCCAGCAUCCGCUCCCGCAAAUACAUCGUGGUCAGCAUGAUACUGAGGGUGUCUGCUGAGAGUGUCCUCCCCAGUAGAGAAGUCAGGAAACAGCUGGUCAAAAAGCGAAAGGCCACCGGAAAAUGAGGCAUCGUCCUCAUAGGCAUUCGGCUGGCUUGGUGGACCAGGAACGACGUUCACGAAUGGUGUGUCAGAUGAGUUUCUUGUCCCCGUCCAUGGUACAGCGACGCCCUCGCCCUCUGCAUUCCCCUGCGGGCCUGACGCAGUGACACCAGGUUCACCUGGAAGCGUGUGUGGGGCAUGUGAAAUAGACAUCGACGUCGAUGGCAACACGCUGCCAAAGUCCGGUGCCGCAAUAAUAGUUGCUGAGUGCCCGUGGCUAUAAGGUGCCACCUGGGGUCGCAACUCCAGUGAGUUUUGCCUGCGGGUGUGGAACCGGCGGAUAGGCCGCUUGGUGCACUGAUGCAAUGUCGGGCGUAACUGGUGUCGAAAAUGGCCCAACGGAGCCACUAACUUGUGCUGCGUCAUCGUGCACUGGCAACUCCUCUGCGUUGCUCGGUAACUCAGUGCCUGCUGAUUUUGAGCGCUGCCUCUGGCGAGGGGGAGAGGUCGUUGAAUACCAAGGAGGGAAGAAAGCGCUGGUGUCUGGAGAAGACGCGGCCUUCGUGGACACUCCAGAACGGGAUGGGUCGGGUUGAUAUGAUUCUCCGGAAACUAGGGCCGCUCCUGGUGUUUUAUUCCACGUUCGUGUCCACUGGAUGUAGGCAUCGCGCUCGAGGGCGACUCGAAGUGGCUGCUCGCAGAAAUGGAGCUAUCUGUCGACUGCUCAGAAGUUGUACGUGUGGAGUGCAAUCGACCCCCCAGACCCUCCUCAAACCCAGGUGCCGAAACGUGGGGUCUUGGUACCGGAGCGCCCACGGUAGAUAAAACAUCUCUGUUGCUGUUCGAAUCUCCGGAAGCGGGAGUCAAGCUCUUCAAGUCUGCCUGAAGCCGAUGGGUGAAUGAAUGGUCCGGCAGCCUCCGAGCGGCUACACUGACCAUGGUCGCAGGAGGUAUUACCGUUUCUUGUGGCGCAGAAAUUAAAGACGAAGUUGACGCCUCAGAAGUAACGACGAUUGAUUGACGAGCGGCUUCUCGCUCCGGGUUAGCGGAUCCUUCUUGUGGAAUAAAAUUUCCACCUGUUGGAAUUACGCGCACGAUGGGGGCAAAUAGGAUUGUGGGCAUGCCGUUAUAUUCCGCUGCGAUAGCGACCUGCUGCGCAUUUGGGUCAAAUUCUGCACCCGGGGGCGGAAACGCAUAAAUAACAGGAAUCCUUUGCUGGUUGCUAUCAACUGCGAAACUUGAGAGUUUCACAUCGGAGGCAGCACGGGGAGUGGUGCUUGUCUCCGUUGCCAUUGUGGCCUGGGAAGACGACGCCGUUUCCGAUGGAUUUCCUGAGAAAACAGCAGCCAUCGACUGUAUCGUAGUCACAUAAAUCUGAAUUAGUGACUGUCCGACUCAUAUUUAAGCCAUGCGUGCCUCCCAGUCCAAUCAACGAACCUCACAGAAGCUCCUGGAACCGUCCAUGGGGCCUUCGGCUAAUGAUUUGACGAGUGUUUUGCUUAGUGAACAGAAUAGGAGAGACAACAUGCUGCCAUGGACGCCCACCCGCCUUUCCAUAUGGACUUCUAUAGAGCAUCUCAGUGCGAGACGACAACGUGCGAGUAUGGGCCUACAUCCACAGAAGCAUGGAUGCCACCAGUCUGAACUAUGGACGAAGCCUUCGUGAGGAUGUACUUUUCAACCGUCUCACAUGUAUAACAGCACCACGUGUGCUAGGGAAAUGAAUAGAGGGCUCAAGAGGUUUCAGGAUACAACGUGAGGCCUUACCAUGAGGCAAUGUGACAAGAGAUGACCCACUGUCUUUGGACGUUGGCAGGCUCGAGGUGACACUACUGCCAGGCUCAGUGCUCGGCUGCGUGCCGGUUUCGGCUGUUCUUUCCAUUUGUGGAGACGCCUGGAAGCUGGUAGCCUUGUCAACACCACUAGAGUUACCCCGAUCACCAGCACCUACGCUCAACCGUGGACCGGAGCUUGCCGUGCUUGCUGGCUGUUCCUGUAACAUUGCUACUGCCUCCCUUCCUUCGUCGCCCAGAGGGGGGUAUGCAAUUCCUGGUGUCCCUGUACUGGUGCUUGCACCUUCUGUUAUCGAUUGAGGACCUCCCGAAUAGGGUGCCGUCUGACCGGCAAGCCCCUUGGUUUUUCCUUUCCUCCGUUUAAGCUCCUUUCGGAGUUGGUCCGCCCGAUCAAGGUUACGCUGCGCGUCCCGUCGAAAUUGGUCCCUAAUCCUCUUGUCCAUUAACUUGAAUACUUUCCGACUGAUUGGUCUGUUCAUCUUAUAUUCGUCAGCCAAACGCCCCCCAAUGUUGCACCUCACGUAAGCUUCUUCAUCUCUUCAUGUGUCCUCUAUC
rnacentral:lncRNA from 1 species